GGUAAGUAAUGUCAGGUUAGGUGAGUAAUGUCAGGUUAGGUCAGUAAUGUCAGGUUGGGUGAGUAAUGUCAGGUCGGGUGAGUCAUGUCAGGUCGGGUGAGUCAUGUCAGGUCGGGUGAGUCAUGUCAGGUCGGGUGAGUCAUGUCAGGUCGGGUGAGUAAUGUCAGGUCGGGUGAGUAAUGUCAGGUCGGGUGAGUAAUGUCAGGUCGGGUGAGUCAUGUCAGGUCGGGUGAGUCAUGUCAGGUCGGGUGAGUCAUGUCAGGUCGGGUGAGUCAUGUCAGGUCGGGUGAGUAAUGUCAGGUCGGGUGAGUAAUGUCAGGUCGGGUGAGUAAUGUCAGGUCGGGUGAGUAAUGUCAGGUCGGGUGAGUCAUGUCAGGUCGGGUGAGUAAUGUCAGGUCGGGUGAGUAAUGUCAGGUCGGGUGAGUAAUGUCAGGUCGGGUGAGUCAUGUCAGGUCGGGUGAGUCAUGUCAGGUCGGGUGAGUAAUGUCAGGUCGGGUGAGUAAUGUCAGGUCGGGUGAGUAAUGUCAGGUCAGGUGAGUAAUGUCAGGUCGGGUGAGUAAUGUCAGGUCAGGUGAGUAAUGUCAGGUCGGGUGAGUAAUGUCAGGUCAGGUGAGUAAUGUCAGGUCGGGUGAGUCAUGUCAGGUCGGGUGAGUCAUGUCAGGUCGGGUGAGUAAUGUCAGGUCGGGUGAGUAAUGUCAGGUCGGGUGAGUCAUGUCAGGUCGGGUGAGUCAUGUCAGGUCGGGUGAGUAAUGUCAGGUCGGGUGAGUCAUGUCAGGUCGGGUGAGUCAGGUCGGGUGAGUCAUGUCAGGUCGGGUGAGUCAUGUCAGGUCGGGUGAGUCAUGUCAGGUCGGGUGAGUAAUGUCAGGUCGGGUGAGUAAUGUCAGGUCGGGUGAGUCAUGUCAGGUCGGGUGAGUCAUGUCAGGUCGGGUGAGUCAUGUCAGGUCGGGUGAGUCAUGUCAGGUCGGGUGAGUCAUGUCAGGUCGGGUGAGUCAUGUCAGGUCGGGUGAGUCAUGUCAGGUCGGGUGAGUCAUGUCAGGUCGGGUGAGUCAUGUCAGGUCGGGUGAGUAAUGUCAGGUCGGGUGAGUAAUGUCAGGUCGGGUGAGUAAUGUCAGGUCGGGUGAGUAAUGUCAGGUCGGGUGAGUAAUGUCAGGUCGGGUGAGUAAUGUCAGGUCGGGUGAGUAAUGUCAGGUCGGGUGAGUAAUGUCAGGUCGGGUGAGUCAUGUCAGGUCGGGUGAGUCAUGUCAGGUCGGGUGAGUCAUGUCAGGUCGGGUGAGUAAUGUCAGGUCGGGUGAGUAAUGUCAGGUCGGGUGAGUAAUGUCAGGUCGGGUGAGUAAUGUCAGGUCGGGUGAGUAAUGUCAGGUCGGGUGAGUAAUGUCAGGUCGGGUGAGUAAUGUCAGGUCAGGUGAGUAAUGUCAGGUCGGGUGAGUAAUGUCAGGUCAGGUGAGUAAUGUCAGGUCGGGUGAGUCAUGUCAGGUCGGGUGAGUCAUGUCAGGUCGGGUGAGUCAUGUCAGGUCGGGUGAGUAAUGUCAGGUCGGGUGAGUAAUGUCAGGUCGGGUGAGUAAUGUCAGGUCGGGUGAGUAAUGUCAGGUCGGGUGAGUCAUGUCAGGUCGGGUGAGUAAUGUCAGGUCGGGUGAGUCAUGUCAGGUCGGGUGAGUCAUGUCAGGUCGGGUGAGUAAUGUCAGGUCGGGUGAGUAAUGUCAGGUCGGGUGAGUCAUGUCAGGUCGGGUGAGUCAUGUCAGGUCGGGUGAGUCAUGUCAGGUCGGGUGAGUCAUGUCAGGUCGGGUGAGUCAUGUCAGGUCGGGUGAGUCAUGUCAGGUCGGGUGAGUCAUGUCAGGUCGGGUGAGUCAUGUCAGGUCGGGUGAGUCAUGUCAGGUCGGGUGAGUAAUGUCAGGUCGGGUGAGUCAUGUCAGGUCGGGUGAGUCAUGUCAGGUCGGGUGAGUAAUGUCAGGUCGGGUGAGUAAUGUCAGGUCGGGUGAGUAAUGUCAGGUCGGGUGAGUAAUGUCAGGUCGGGUGAGUCAUGUCAGGUCGGGUGAGUCAUGUCAGGUCGGGUGAGUCAUGUCAGGUCGGGUGAGUAAUGUCAGGUCGGGUGAGUAAUGUCAGGUCGGGUGAGUAAUGUCAGGUCGGGUGAGUCAUGUCAGGUCGGGUGAGUCAUGUCAGGUGAGUCAUGUCAGGUCGGGUGAGUCAUGUCAGGUCGGGUGAGUCAUGUCAGGUCGGGUGAGUAAUGUCAGGUCGGGUGAGUCAUGUCAGGUCGGGUGAGUAAUGUCAGGCCGGGUGAGUAAUGUCAGGUCGGGUGAGUAAUGUCAGGUCGGGUGAGUAAUGUCAGGUCGGGUGAGUAAUGUCAGGUCGGGUGAGUAAUGUCAGGUUGGAUGAGUAAUGUCAGGUUGGAUGAUUAAAGUCAGACCUCAAUUACACAAACAAUACAAUAGAUAAACAAGAAAUACUGGUGUAAGAAUAUUGAGCUUUACGAUGGACAACAAUCCAA